rnacentral:misc_RNA from 1 species
AUCCUUUUCAAAGGGGAGUAGCUGUUAGGGAAACCUAAAGCAAAGUCGUCAUUUCGCGGUCCUUUUCCGCCGGCUUUGCUGGCAGACCAUGUCUAGCAAGACCUUUGCCUUCAGG